AUGUGGAGAGAGGCUGCGAGCCCUGCUGCAGAGCCUCCGGCUGGGAUAGCCGCCCCCCGUGGGGGCGAUGCGGACAGCGCGGGACAGCCAGGGGAGCGCGCGGGGGCCGCAGCAUGCGGGAACCCGCUAAACCCGGUGGCUGCUGAGGCGGCCGAGAUGAUCGUGCGCGCAGCGCGCCCCACUGCAUCCUCGACCUUCUCGGGCUACAGGUACGUCCCAGCAGGAGAUCAGGGCUCCGUGGGCCGGGGAGGAGGGAGACUCGACCGGAGGGAGAGCGGCAGAGGUGAUGGUCAGGCUAGAGAGGGGAGAGGGAAAGCGGGAGGGAGCCCAGCGGCGAGGCGCAGUAGGGGCACCAGGGGCGCUGCGGCUCCGCGCUCAGCGACGCUCACCCAGGAACGCCGAGGCAGCUAGGAGUUCGCCUCAACUUCCCCCGGCGCCAGCAGCGCCCGGUCUGAGAGGCGCGCGUCAGGUCACGCGUGCACGACCGCGCUGGUAUUUUCAGGUACGCGGGGCUGUGCACUUGCCGCCGUUCAUGCGUGUGCCCCACCUGAGGACGUGUGAGGACUCCGGCUGGCAGUGGGCACCGCUUCAGCAGCCUGAGGAAGUGCGCAGAAAAGCGCGCGUGCCUAUGAGCGUGUGCGGCCCACUGCCCACGUGCACCUAAGACUUGGCAACAGCGCCCGCAGUAGAAAGGCUAGGGAGGGGCUGUACAGUCCACGUCCGUCUGGGAGCUUCUUGGGAGCCUACCUUUCCCCCUACGCACGUUCUUUGCCAGCUCCCACGCGCUGGCCCGCGGGGGGACGCGCCUACUCUCCAGAAUUCAGCACUGCACACGGCGCGCGUGAGAGAGGGUGUGUGUGUGUGAACAUGUGUGUGUGCAUGUGCGUGUGUGCAUGUGCGUGUGUGCACGCGCGCGUGUAGGGGGUGGGUCCUGGGCCUACUUGCAGUUGAGUGAAGGACUCUUCACGGUCCCUCGGCGCGAGGUGGGGCGAGCCCCAAGUUCCCCCAGGCACCGCGGAGCCUGGGCCCACCAGGCAGCGUCCUCACUCCCAAGCACCUGGGGUGUACGCUGCCUGAGAGGAGCCGGGUCUGUAGUUGGGGCUGGGCGUAGAGCAAAGUGUGUGGCGCACGCGACGGGCUCGCAGGGGGCGGGGUCAGCCAACUAGCUCCACUCUCAGGCCUGGACGCGGGGUCUGGGCGCCGCCUCCGCACGCCCAGCCGGGUCUGUAGUUCGCUCCGUG
rnacentral:lncRNA from 1 species